rnacentral:rRNA from 1 species
UACGAAGGGGGCGAGCGUUGUUCGGAUUUACUGGGCGUAAGGGCGCGUAGGCGGCCCUCCUAGUCGCGUGUGAAAGCCCCGGGCUCAACCUGGGAACUGCGUCUGAUACUGGAUGGCUUGAAUCCGGGAGAGGGAUGCAGAAUUCCAGGUGUAGCGGUGAAAUGCGUAGAUAUCUGGAGGAAUACCGGUGGCGAAGGCGGCAUCCUGGACCGGCAUUGACGCUGAGGAGCGAAAGCCAGGGGAGCAAACGGG